rnacentral:rRNA from 1 species
AUUGAACGCUGGCGGCAUGCCUAACACAUGCAAGUCGAACGGAAGCACGGGGCUUUGCCCCUGUUGGCGAGUGGCGAACGGGUGAGUAACACAUGGGUACACGUCCUGUAGCGGGGGAUUGCCCGGCGAAAGCCGGAUUAAUAACGCAUACGAUGCUCGGGCGACAGGGGGGGCGUUGGAGGCCUCGCGCUCUUGGGGUGGUCGUUGGGUGUUUAGCGCGUUUGUGGGGUAAAGGCCUACAAAGACGACUAUCAGUAGCUGGUCUGAGAGGAGGACAAGCCACACUGGAACUGAGACACGGCCCAGACUCCUACGGGAGGCAGCAGUGGGGAAUGUUGGACAAUGGGCGAAAGCCUGAUCCAGCAAUGCCGCGUGUGUGAAGAAGGACUUCGGGUUGUAAAGCACUUUUGUCCGGAAAGAAAUGCUUUAGUCUAAUACGGUGCGGGGAUGACGGUACCGGAUGAAUAAGCACCGGCUAACUACGUG